rnacentral:lncRNA from 1 species
GGGAGGCCGGGCACGGCUGGCAGAGGAGCUGCCCACCUCUCUAUGGGAUGAGAGACUUGAGAAAUUCAAUUUAAUCCAAUUCAGCAAACACUGAGUAUCUGCUAUGUGCCAGGUACUGACAGGUACCAGAAAUAAAGAGAUCACUGUCCUCGAGGUCUGGUGAGAAAGACGAGCAUUUGGAAGUGCUCUAACAUCAGCAUAAUGACCUGAACAAGGUGGCACGGAGCUGAGAAAGAAGCGGUACUUUUAUUUCCUCCUUCUGUACAGAGUAUAUAAAUAUAUUAUGAACAGUAUACAGAAUAAAUGGAAUAAAGUCAAUACCUACUUCAUUGCCAUCCAGGUCAAAAACUGGAGUAUUUCCUAUACUUCAGAAGUUCCCCAUGCAUCCCUUUCACAAUUCCCUCAGUCUCCUAAAAACGAACUACAAUCCUGACGUUUGUAAUAAUCGUAAACACAGAAAUUACUUGUUUUUCUUUAUAGUUUUAGCACCUGUGUAUGCCUUCAUAAAC